AUUGAACGCUGGCGGCAGGCCUAAUACAUGCAAGUCGAGCGAAGCGGCGGAUGGGUGAGUAACGCGUGGGUAACCUCCCACUCAGUCUGGGAUACCAUUUGGAAACAGAUGCUAAUACCGGAUACUAACGGAUGGACCUGAGUUGCAUUAGCUAGUUGGUAAGGUAACGGCUUACCAAGGCGAUGAUGCAUAGCCGAGUUGAGAGACUGAUCUGCCACAUUGGGACUGAGACACGGCCCAAACUCCUACGGGAGGCAGCAGUAGGGAAUCUUCCACAAUGGACGAAAGUCUGAUGGAGCAACGCCGCGUGAGUGAAGAAGGUUUUCGGAUCGUAAAGCUCUGUUGUUGGUGAAGCGGUAAUCAACCAGAAAGUCACGGCUAACUACGUGCCAGCAGCCGCGGUAAUUC
rnacentral:rRNA from 1 species